rnacentral:rRNA from 1 species
UACGUAGGUGGCGAGCGUUGUCCGGAUUUACUGGGCGUAAAGAGCGCGCAGGCGGCUGGUCAAGUCCGAUGUGAAAGCUCCCGGCUUAACUGGGAAAUUGCAUCGGAAACUGAUCGGCUGGAAGGUGGGAGAGGGUAGCGGAAUUCCCGGUGUAGUGGUGAAAUGCGUAGAUAUGACCCGGAACACCGAUUGCGAAGGCAGCCCGCUAAGCAACUAUUGACGCUGAGGCACGAAAGCGUGGGGAUCAAACAGG